UAAUCUAAUUUUGUACAAACAAAAACUGAAUCAGUUUUAAUCAUUUUGCUCCAGUUUUUAAAAAUGGUAUCACACACACUUAUUGCAUUGUGAAUCUGGAACGAUUAAAAUUUAAAUCAUGUGGAGAGGGGGGAUAGGACUGUGUGGGGUGUGACCAGCAGUUCCAAGCAGAACAGACAGCGUUCAGCCAUUUAAACUGAAGUCGGGACCUUUUGGCAUGCUUUGUGAAACACAAACACCUGGAAUAUGCUGACAAAUUCAGGGGACGGUCUCUGUUCCCAUUCCCCAGCCACACUGGGGAAAUCACCCUUGGAUUCUGAGCCAGGUCAGACUCAGCACAUAAUUCAGAACCUUGUUGAUUUCAUGUCUAUUUUGUUGGAAUCCAAGAGGCCACAAAGUUGAGGGGAGCGUUUCUGAGGCAAGAUCUUUGCCGAAGGCUUGGUCAUCAACGGCACAGUGACGCUAAUCUGCAGGGGUGAACAAGGAGCAACAAGGUGCCCCCUCUGAAUCCAGCUAAGGUAACGGUGACAUGCAGUGAUCUCUUGCAUCUAUUUGAGGAAGCCAGCAUGAUUACGGUCAAGUGUGUUUCAGGUACCUUUUGCAGGAGAACAGACAACAUGAAUA